GCCGAGGUGGCGGAAUGGCAGACGCACGUGGUUCAGGGCCACGCGAGCGCAAGCUCAUGGGGGUUCAAAUCCCCCCCUCGGCACCA
rnacentral:tRNA from 1 species